rnacentral:rRNA from 1 species
UACGAAGGGGGCUAGCGUUGUUCGGAAUUACUGGGCGUAAAGCGCGCGCAGGCGGUCUUCCAAGUCAGUGGUGAAAGCCCGGAGCUCAACUCCGGAACUGCCAUUGAAACUGUAAGACUUGAGGAUGAGAGAGGUGAGUGGAAUUCCCAGUGUAGAGGUGAAAUUCGUAGAUAUUGGGAAGAACACCGGUGGCGAAGGCGGCUCACUGGCUCAUUUCUGACGCUCAGGCGCGAAAGCGUGGGGAUCAAACAGG